rnacentral:rRNA from 1 species
UACGUAGGUGGCAAGCGUUGUCCGGAAUUAUUGGGCGUAAAGCGCGCGCAGGCGGUCCUUUAAGUCUGAUGUGAAAGCCCACGGCUCAACCGUGGAGGGUCAUUGGAAACUGGGGGACUUGAGUGCAGAAGAGGAAAGCGGAAUUCCACGUGUAGCGGUGAAAUGCGUAGAGAUGUGGAGGAACACCAGUGGCGAAGGCGGCUUUCUGGUCUGUAACUGACGCUGAGGCGCGAAAGCCAGGGGAGCAAACAGG